GAAGUGAGAACCCAAACCCUCGAAUAUCUCCAUUACUCAACUAAGAACCCUAAACUUUCAUAGCCCUCUCAGCUCGCAGCCCUCUUCAUCACCGAGAAGUGAGAAUCCAUCUUCAUCUUUCAGGUCGUAGCCCGCUCUCAACUUGCAACCCUCUAUCCUUCUCUUGCAACCCUUUAUCCCUCUUUCGCAACUCUUGGAAACUUCAAUCGGUGCACCCUCCAUCGGCGUGCCCUCUGUCGGCAUUCACUCUCACUCGCAAGGCCUCCAUCGGCGCUCGCUCUCUCUCGCUCAAACCUUACCUCCGUUGACACUGACUCAAUCGUCGCUGCCUCUCCCUUAAUCGCCGUUCCUCCCUCAAUCAGUGCUCAACCCUUACCAUAACACAAGAAGGAAUACUAAAUGGAGGUUUCUUGAGGGUGUGAGGGUCUCUGGUGCACUGCCACCUAGAACGGUCUUGGUGCAGCAGUGUAUCUGUGAUAAAGGUGUGUUGGAAGUUCUAUGCAACUAUGUUUCAUGGGGAGAAUCAAGUAUGAUUCAAGCUGAAAGGUUAUUUUCCUGAACCCAAAGAACAAGGAAAUGUUGCUGGAGAACUUCAAAGAACAAAUUACUUUGUUUGUGAGAAGCAUCCAGUGGAGCUAUGCAAUAUUCUGGUCUACUUCAUCUACCCAACUCAGUAGGGUGUUGAGUUGGGGGAAGGAUAUUACAAUAGAGACAUUAAGACAAGGAAGACAAGUUAAGGAGUGGAACUCAAUUCUGAUCAGAUAGGGUUGCAGCGGAGUGAGCAGCUUCGAGAGUUAUACAAGUCCCUCAAAGCUGUAGAUGCCAUCCCUCAAAUUAAGCAACUUCACCGAUGCUCUCCCUUUGGUGAAGUACUACUCUGAGAAUAACAAGAGGCUUAUUCACUUCUCUACUUGUGAAGUUGCAUUUAUUCUGCCCUGCAGAGGUCAGUAACUCUUCAUAACUUAAUUGUUAUCAGAUCUCAUUAUCCUUCUUGUUGCUGCAGCUGUGUUAUUAGAACUCCUUUUUUAUUUUUUACUUUUUAUUUCGUAUCUUAUCUGAAAUUGUUGGUUAUAAUGGCUUUCCAAAAGGAUUUUAUCGAAAUGUUCAAUCAUAGGCGUUCAGUUGACACUUUUCGAGACUAUAAGUAUCUGGGAACCCAAAACCGUGUUGAUGGAAUAGUUGGGGAGUAAGCAGCUCAAUUAUUUAUCCAUUAUGCUUUUUUGUCCUUCUUUUCUUUUAUAAUAAAACUUAUUUAUGAAGAACUCAUUGUUUCCACUCUUAUUCCACUGUCAAUGUACAAGUGGAUGACUUUUGGAGAAGUAGGUACUGCACGGUCAGCUAUAGGCUCUGGUCUGAUUUAUUAUGGAAUUCCAAAGGUUAAUUCUAUAAUAUAGUCAUGAACCUCAAUUAUUUAUUUCAAUACUUGGCAGAUAUUAUUACCUAACCACUGGUACGUGCAUUUCCAGGAGCUUGCUCUCCCUUUUCUUUUUAUUAUUUUCUAUUUUAUAAAAGAAACACAAAAUAUUUCUUUUUACUAUUUUUCUUUGCACUAACAUGGUGAUUGUAGUUUCUUACCCCCAUAUGUAGUUGCUAAUGAUUUAUAAUUUUAUUUAUUCAAGAAGCAUCAUUUAUGAUUUCAUUGCUAAGUACUUGUUACCACUUGCCUUUUUCUGCCUUGGAUGUAGGGAAGCAGUAAUCUUCAGCCCUUUAGCCAUCAAAACCUGAUGAUGUUGCAACUAUUUGCUAUACAAGUGGUACAACUAGAACCCCAAAGGGGGCUGUCUUGACCCAUGCAAACUUCGUUGAAAAUGUUGCUGGGACCACUAUGGAUGAAAAUUUUGGCCCUUCUGAUGUUUAUAUAUUAUAACUCCCUUUAGCACACAUUUAUGAGCGGACAAACCAAUUCAUGCAUGUACAUUUUGAUGAGACUCAGAUCACACAUCUGCCAAAAGAGGUCCAGAAGAUAUUGAGGUUAGAACAUGGCUUCAAUUGGGGUGUUAGAGAUGCUUGGAAACCCCAUCAAGUUGAGUGGUGCACAAGGUCAGCACCAUCAGCUUCUAGCCCUGCCACUUUCGAGACUGUGGCUCUCUUUGGUAAGAAGAAGGCAGCACCACCUCCUCCUUCAAAGAAAGCUGCUGCUGUUGUCACUCCUGCCAAUGAUGAACUCGCCAAGUGGUAUGUUUUGCAGGAUUCUGGCUGAAGUUGAAAACCUUGCUACUAAUUGUAAUGAGACUGAGCUUAAGUUGUAUUGUUUCUGUAUUUUUUUCAAUUUUUAGUUUUGGAAUUCGAACUCAAGAUUUAUUUUGUAUUUGAGUAUUAGUUUUUUAAUGUAUAAAACAAUUAUCGCAAAAAUUGUCACUAAUUAUUGUUUAAUUUAUGUUGUACUAAAAGUUGCAUGCUAUAUUUGUAGGUUUAGUAAUAAAAAAGGUUUGAAAAUUUAUAUUUUGUAGGUAAAAAUAAGAAAAAGGAUUUUUUUUUAAUUUUAUAAAGCUAUCGCCACGCUUUUAAAGUGUGGCCAUAUAACUGGCUAUCGCCACGCUUUAAAAAGUGUAGCCGUAUCUUUCUCUAUCGGCACGUUUUUAAAUAGUAUCCAAAACAAACAUUCUGGGACGUUUUAAAAGCGUGGCGAUAUGUGCACUUUUUGGUACACUUUUUAAGCGUACCUAUAGGUUAAGACCUAUGGCUACGCUUUUAAGCGUGGCAAGAAAUGAAAGCGUGCCAACAAAAAAAGCGUGCCAGUAGAACCACAAAAGUGUGGCGAUAGAGCAAUCGGCACGCUGGCAGAUGUGACCCUUUCAUAAGCGUGCCGAAAGUUCAAAAAGCGUGGUGAAAAGCUAUCGGCAUGUUU